rnacentral:rRNA from 1 species
UACGUAGGGUGCAAGCGUUGUCCGGAAUUAUUGGGCGUAAAGAGCUCGUAGGCGGUUUGUCGCGUCUGCUGUGAAAAUCCAGGGCUUAACCCUGGACCUGCAGUGGGUACGGGCAGACUAGAGGUAUGCAGGGGAGAACGGAAUUCCUGGUGUAGCGGUGGAAUGCGCAGAUAUCAGGAGGAACACCGGUGGCGAAGGCGGGAUCCUGGGCCAGUACUGACGCUGAGGAGCGAAAGCGGUGGGAGCAACAGGGAGUAAGAAACCCGGGUGAGCCC